AUGAGACCAGUUAUUGCCGCUCCUCCCUUCUCCCCUCCUGUCCUGCGGAGAGCGCGGCGGGCCUGGGGCGCGCUCCUGACCCGACUGCCCCGCGCCCUGCCCGGCGCCCUGCCCCGCGCCCUGCUCCGCGCUCCUGCCCCGCGCCCUGCCCGGUCCUGUCCCGCGCUCCUGCUCCGCGCUCCUGCUCCGCGCUCCUGUCCCGCGCCCUGCCCCGCGCCCUGCCCCGUCCUGUCCCGCGCUCCUGCCCCGCGCCCUGCUCCGCGCUCCUGCCCCGCGCCCUGCCGGGUCCUGUCCCGCGCUCCUGCUCCGCGCUCCUGCUCCGCGCUCCUGUCCCGCGCUCCUGUCCCGCGCCCUGCCCCGCGCCCUGCUCCGCGCCCUGCCCCAUCCUGUCCCGCGCUCCUGCCCCGCGCUCCUGCCCCGCGCCCUGCCCUGCGCCCUGCCCCGUCCUGUCCCGCGCUCCUGUCCCGCGCCCUGCCCCGCGCUCCUGCACCGCGCUCCUGCCCCGAGUCCUGCCCCGCGACCUGCCCGGCGUCCCGCCCCGCGCUCCUGCCCGGCGUCCUGCCCCGCGCUCUUGCCCCGCGCUCCUGCCCCGCGCUCCUGCCCGGCGUCCUGCCCCGCGCUCCUGCUCCGCAGCUCCUGCCCCGCGCUCCUGCCUGCCGUCAGCUCCUGCCCCGCGCCCUGCCCCGCGCUCCUGCUCCGCGCUCCUGCUUCGCGCUCCUGUCCCGCGCCCUGCCCCGCGCUCCUGCUCCGCGCUCCUGCCCCGCGCUCCUGUCCCGCGCCCUGCCCCGCGCUCCUGCCCCGCGCUCCUGCCCCGCGCCCUGCCCCGCGCUCCUGCUCCGCGCUCCUGCCCCGCGCUCCUGUCCCGCGCCCUGCCCCGCGCUCCUGCUCCGCGCUCCUGCCCCGCGCUCCUGUCCCGCGCCCUGCCCCGCGCUCCUGCCCCGCGCUCCUGUCCCGCGCCCUGCCCCGCGCUCCUGCUCCGCGCUCCUGCCCCGCGCUCCUGUCCCGCGCCCUGCCCCGCGCUCCUGCUCCGCGCUCCUGCCCCGCGCUCCUGCCCCGCGCCCUGCCCCGCGGCCCACGAGGCCAGGACGGUUGCGCUCCGGGCGCGUCCUCCCGCGGGACCCAGGCCGCCUGGCCGCGCGCCUCCGCCUCAGCUUGGCCUCCCGGGGCCGCGCGUGGGGGGCCGGGGUCUUGGCUCCCCGCCCCGCCCGGCCCCGCCCGGCCCGGCCCGGCCCGCGCCCGCUCCCCCGCCCCCGCCGGCAGCGGCGUCUCGAAUCCACGUGA
rnacentral:lncRNA from 12 species